rnacentral:rRNA from 1 species
GUCGAACGCUAUUUUAUAGAGUGGCGCACGGGUGAGUAACACGUGGGAAUCUGCCCUUCUGCCUGGGAUAACAGUUGGAAACGACUGCUAAUACCGGAUACGCCCUUCGGGGGAAAGGUCCGCCGCAGAAGGAGGAGCCCGCGCUUGAUUAGCUUGUUGGUGAGGUAAUGGCUCACCAAGGCAACGAUCAAUAACUGGUCUGAGAGGAUGAUCAGCCACACUGGGACUGAGACACGGGCCAGACUCCUACGGGAGGCAGCAGUGGGGAAUAUUGGACAAUGGGGGCAACCCUGAUCCAGCAAUGCCGCGUGUGUGAUGAAAGCCUUAGGGUUGUAAAGCACUUUCACUGGUGAAGAUGAUGACGGUAGCAGGUAAAGAAACCCCGGCUAACUCCGUGCCAGCAGACGCGGUAAUACGGAGGGGGUUAGCGUUGUUCGGAAUUACUGGGCGUAAAGCGCGCGUAUGCGGAUUAGAAAGUUGGGGGUGAAAUCCCGGGGCUCAAACCCGGAACUGUCUCCAAAACUGCUAGUCUAGAGUUCGAGAGAGGUGAGUGGAAUUCCGAGUGUAGAGGUGAAAUUCGUAGAUAUUCGGAGGAAACACAAUGGCGAAAGCGGGUCACUGGCUCGAUACUGACGCUGAGGUGCGAAAGUGUGGGGAGCACACAGGAUUUAAUACCCUGUGUAUUCACACCGUGAAAGAUGAUUGCAAGCCGUCGGAUAAAUACUAUCCGUGAAACACUCAAGGUUUAGAUUCCGCCGGGGGA